UACGGAGGGUGCAAGCGUUAUCCGGAUUUACUGGGUUUAAAGGGUGUGUAGGCGGACCAUUAAGUCAGCGGUGAAAUCUCCGGGCUCAACCCGGAAACUGCCAUUGAUACUAUUGGUCUUGAAUGUUGUUGAGGUGGGCGGAACGGGUCAUGUAGCGGUGAAAUACAUAGAUAUGACCCGGAACACCGAUUGCGAAGGCAGCCCACUAAGCAACGAUUGACGCUGAGGCACGAAAGCGUGGGGAUCAAACAGG
rnacentral:rRNA from 1 species